AAACCAGCACCUCAAGUGGUCAGGAUGAUUAUUGGGCCUAAAGCACCCGUAGCCGGCUCUGUAAGUUUUCGGUUAAAUCUGUACGCUCAACGUACAGGCUGUCGGGAAUACUGCAGAGCUAGGGAGUGGGCGAGGUAGACGGUACUCGGGAGGAAGUGGUAAAAUGCUUUGAUCUCUCGAUGACCACCUGUGGCGAAGGCGGUCUACCAGAACACGUCCGACGGUGAGGGAUGAAAGCUGGGGGAGCAAACCGGAUUAGAAACCCGAGUAGUCC
rnacentral:rRNA from 1 species